rnacentral:rRNA from 1 species
UACGAAGGGUGCAAGCGUUAAUCGGAAUUACUGGGCGUAAAGCGUGCGCAGGCGGUUUUGUAAGUCUGACGUGAAAUCCCCGGGCUCAACCUGGGAAUUGCGUUGGAGACUGCAAGGCUAGAAUCUGGCAGAGGGGGGUAGAAUUCCACGUGUAGUAGUGAAAUGCGUAGAUAUGUGGAGGAACACCGAUGGCGAAGGCAGCCCCCUGGGUCAAGAUUGACGCUCAUGCACGAAAGCGUGGGGAGCAAACAGG